CCCAGAUCCAAGAGCAAAAGGUACGAGAGGGAUGAGAGAGGAGGGCAAACGUGAAGAACAGUUUCAGUGUAAAGUAAAGCAGCACAACACGCAGCAGCAUCAGUGAGUCGCUUUAGGUCAUAAGUGAGGCUUUCAUUCCGCGUCUGCUCUGAUUUUAAAUUUCACAGAUUUAAAGCAGCAUUAUUUAUGCUAUUCAGAUGUCCUCAGUGUCCUUCAUCCUCAAACAACCUCAAAAAGUUAUUUGAAUGACGAGCGCAUGCACACAAACACAUGUACACUCGGUCAAUGGUCCGUCUGACUGGCAUCCAAACGGCCCCAGCUGACCGUCUGCCAGCGAGACUGGCAUAAAAACACACACACACACAUAUGUGCACACAUGGUGGAGUUGUAUUGUUUUCAGAGACACAGUCAGACUCCUUCCCUUGUUUAUCCUACAUACAUUUCCUGUGUUUGUGCACAUAUGGGGCCGUAGUCUCAGCCAGCGAUCAAUCACAUGUGUUUACCUCCGUGACGGAGAGUCACGUCACCUGCAGGGGGGGUGCGUUCUGAAGCCGAGCUGUCAGCAGAGGUUCAAAGCAGGGAGAGUGGGGCUGAUAUCUAAGCAGGAAGGAAGUAACAAUGAGAGACGUCGUUUCUUAAUGUGCAAACAGUCCGAUCAAAGGUGACAACAGCCUUUGUUAAUGUUUAACAGUUUAGAUGGAAAAGAUAUCGGCCAACCUGCACUAUCAGACAAAUUGAUUUUAU